rnacentral:misc_RNA from 1 species
CGACCCUCAAGCACAGCUUGGUGUUGGGCACGGUCCUGCAGGACCCGCCCGUAACUUGUAGGCGGCCGCCGCCCGCGCCCCCAGCGUAGCAAGCUCACGCGUUCGCUCGGGGACGGCGCGUCUGGCCCUGCCCGCCAGUAAAUUUUUCCAAG